UGGGGAAUCAUAGACAAUGGGCGCAAGCCUGAUCUUGCCAUGCCGCGUGGACGAUGAAGGCCUUAGGGUUGUAAAGUCCUUUCGCCCGUGAAGAUAAUGACGGUAGCGGGAGAAGAAGCCCCGGCUAACUCCGUGCCAGCAGCCGCGGUAAUACGGAGGGGGCUAGCGUUGUUCGGAAUUACUGGGCGUAAAGCGCACGUAGGCGGACCGGCCAGUCAGAGGUGAAAGCCCGGGGCUCAACCCUGGAACUGCCUUUGAUACUGCCGGUCUAGAGAUCGAGAGAGGCGGGUGGAAUUCCGAGUGUAGAGGUGAAAUUCGUAGAUAUUCGGAGGAACACCAGUGGCGAAGGCGGCCCGCUGGCUCGAUGCUGACGCUGAGGUGCGAAAGCGUGGGGAGCAAACA
rnacentral:rRNA from 1 species